UAGAAAGAGAAUCUAGGGCUGUCCCAAGCUCCUCGUCAUCUAGUUUCGGGCUACAUGGGAAAGAACCAUGCCCAAACCCAAAGAAGGGAAAAGAUUAUGUAGGUAUAGCUGCUAAGAAGUCAUCCACAAUGCAUAAUUCUGAUUUGAGUAGUGAAGAACAAAAAUAAUUCACCCGCUUUCCCCAAUUUUUGCAUGAUUCUGGUCACGAUUGAGGGCAACAAUGUCUGUAUCCUGAUAAAGAGCUCCUUCCAGAUGACAGGGAAAUGAGUGUAUAUAAUCAUCUUGAAGAGCCGAGACAACGAAUAUUUGCGUCCGUUAUGGCAGUCAGUGCUGCUAUUUUGGGAUGCUUUGCAUUCUCAAAAGAAUUAAUAAGGAUCCUGGAAGCUCUCGUCAAAACACAAGGUGUUCAAUUUCUACAACUGGCUCCCGGGGAAUUCUUCUUUAUAACUUUGAAGAUUAUAGGAGAAAAACAUUAACAGUUGAAGAGACUUGAUGGUGUCUUCAAUUAUCAGUGGCAAUAAUUGCAUUUUAUAUGCUAACAUCUCAAGGAAAAGACAGAGGAAGAGGAAUACAAAAACAAAUGAUGAUAGACCAAAGCCUAAUAAGACAGCAGCGAGGGGUUGUCGCAGAUCAGCAUGCGGACAAGAGCAGUACUCUCACGUGUGGCAAGACGAUAAAUGUUUUCUUUCAGCAUCCGGGAAGCCGUGCAUGUAGCAUCUUCUCCACCUCCAACCAACAGAUAAUCAAUUUCAUUUGAUUGGAUCCAUCAAAUCAUA